rnacentral:rRNA from 1 species
UUGGUACUGAGACACGGACCAGAUUCCUACGGGAGGCAGCAGUGAGGAAUAUUGGUCAAUGGGCGAGAGCCUGAACCAGCCAAGUCGCGUGAAGGAUGACUGUCCUAAGGAUUGUAAACUUCUUUUAUACGGGAAUAACGGGCGAUACGUGUAUUGCUGUGAAUGUACCGUAAGAAUAAGCAUCGGCUAACUCCGUGCCAGCAGCCGCGGUAAUACGGAGGAUGCGAGCGUUAUCCGGAUUUAUUGGGUUUAAAGGGUGCGUAGGUUGUUCGGUAAGUCAGCGGUGAAAACUGAGCGCUCAACGUUCAGCGUGCCGUUGAAACUGCCGGGCUUGAGUUCAGAGGCGGCAGGCGGAAUUCGUGGUGUAGCGGUGAAAUGCAUAGAUAUCACGAGGAACUCCGAUUGCGAAGGCAGCUUGCCAUACUGCGACUGACACUGAAGCACGAAGGCGUGGGUAUCAAACAGGAUUAGAUACCCUGGUAGUCCACGCAGUAAACGAUGAUUACUAGGAGUUUGCGAUAUACCGUCAAGCUUCCACAGCGAAAGCGUUAAGUAAUCCACCUGGGGAGUACGCCGGCAACGGUGAAACUCAAAGGAAUUGACGGGGGCCCGCACAAGCGGAGGAACAUGUGGUUUAAUUCGAUGAUACGCGAGGAACCUUACCCGGGAUUGAAAUGUAGACGACGGAUGGUGAAAGCCGUCUUCCCUUCGGGGCGUCUAUGUAGGUGCUGCAUGGUUGUCGUCAGCUCGUGCCGUGAGGUGUCGGCUUAAGUGCCAUAACGAGCGCAACCCACAUCGGUAGUUGCUAACAGGUUUAGCUGAGGACUCUACCGAGACUGCCGUCGUAAGGCGUGAGGAAGGUGUGGAUGACGUCAAAUCAGCACGGCCCUUACAUCCGGGGCGACACACGUGUUACAAUGGGAGGGACAAAGGGCAGCUACCGGGCGACCGGAUGCGAAUCUCGAAACCCUUCCCCAGUUCGGAUCGGAGUCUGCAACUCGACUCCGUGAAGCUGGAUUCGCUAGUAAUCGCGCAUCAGCCAUGGCGCGGUGAAUACGUUCCCGGGCCUUGUACACACCGCCCGUCAAGCCAUGGGAGUCGGGGGUACCUGAAGGGCGUAA